rnacentral:rRNA from 1 species
UACAGAGGUCUCAAGCGUUGUUCGGAUUCAUUGGGCGUAAAGGGCGCGUAGGCGGCGGGGUCAGUCGGGUGUGAAAUCUUGGGGCUUAACCCCGAAACGGCACUCGAGACUGCCCGGCUGGAGGGCCGGAGAGGAGAUCGGAAUUCACGGUGUAGCAGUGAAAUGCGUAGAGAUCGUGAGGAAGACCCGUGGCGAAGGCGGAUCUCUGGACGGCUAAAACUGACGCUGAGGCGCGAAGGCCAGGGGAGCAAACGGG